CUCGUUUAAGAUUUAACCUAGAAACAAAAACUGAUCAAACUCUACUGUCUACUCCGGCGAUGGAAGGCCGAUCCCAGAGAAACAUGUCCACUUCAGCUAAUGUAAGGGAAAAUCCGAUGUUGGAUGUCAGUAUUUUCUCCAUGUUCGUUGUUUGUAUGGAAUUUUAAUGUUUCGCUGAAAAACUAUUUUCCUACUUCGCCGAUUUUCUUUCCCUGGUAAUAUUUCUCAUACACCCAUAGUUUUGCAUAUGUUCUUUGUCUGUUUUUUAUGAUAAGUUUUGUUAUUUCUAAUUUAUAAUAGGGUGUUUUCUUGGUGGAUUUUUAUUUUAUGUUAGAAACCAUGAGAUUUCCCUUGUUCAAUGUUUGCUGUCGAUAUUCGAUGCUGGUUGUCUUGUUUGUUAUUCUGGAAAAUCGUUUCAAUGCUCCUCCUUUUUAUCGUUGGUUAUAUUGCCGAUAAACUCAUAAUUUUCCUUUGUUGUUUGCAUUAUACAUUUUGUGAUUUCUAAUUUUCAGAUUUGGGGGUUUAGCUGGUGAAUUUUGAUUUCGUGUUAGAAAUCAUGAUAAAUCCAUUGUGAUUUCUGUUUGAUAUUCGAUGUUCGCUGUCUUGUUCGUUAUUCUGAAAAAUCAUUUCAAUGUUUUUUUGUUCUGUGGUAAUAUUGCUGAAAAAUCACAACUUCAUCUCAAUGUUGUGAAAAAUCACAACUUCAUCUGUACAGUUGAGUUAGAACCAUGGUUUACUUUAAUGAAUAAGAAUGUUUUACUUUAAUGCUUAGACAAGUUCAUAAUUUAAUUCGCUGAAGAAGUAUGUCUCCUUUUCAACACUGAGACAAGUUCCUUCUUAAUCGAUAUUCAGUUAAAAAGAGAAAAAGGUGAUUUGUAGGAAUAAUUUCUGAUUGAAAUGAUUUAAUUUUGGAUGUUGACAGAAAUUGGAUACAGAGAUAGCAGACUGUGGCAGCAGACAUUUCUACCACCACCACCACCAAAUUCCUUUCAUCUUUCCUUUUGCAGAUUCUUUAUAGUUUAGUUUUAGUGUUUUUAUGUUACGAGCCAAAACUCUUUCUUUUCUCUCAUUAUUUUUAAUUAAGGGUACACAUAUUUACUCACAAAGAAAUUACUCCAAGCGUGUUAUUUUUGAUAUUUUGAGAGUAUUAAAGUAGACAUUUUACAGACUUGAGUGUCAGAUUCUGUCUGUGGG
rnacentral:lncRNA from 1 species